rnacentral:rRNA from 1 species
GUCAAGUCAUCAUGGCCUUGAUGUCCAGGGCGACACACACGCUACAAUGGCCGGUACAAUGGGCUGCGAAGGGGUGACUUGGAGCAAAUCCCAGCAAAGCCGGUCUCAGUGGGGAUCGGAGGCUGCAACUCGCCUCCGUGAACGCGGAGUUGCUAGUAACCGCCGGUCAGCACACGGCGGUGAAUACGUUCCCGGGCCUU